UGAGGCCUACGGGGGGCAGCAGUCGGGAAUAUUGCGCAAUGGAGGAAACUCUGACGCAGUGACGCCGCGUAUAGGAAGAAGUUUUUCGGAAUGUAAACUAUUGUCGUUAGGGAAGAGAAAGGACAGUACCUAAGGAGGAAGCUCCGGCUAACUACGUGCCAGCAGCCGCGGUAAUACGUAGGGAGCGAGCGUUAUCCGGAAUUAUUGGGCGUAAAGGGUGCGUAGAUGGUUGAUAUAAGUCUUUUGUAAAAAUGCUAGGCUCAACCUAGUAGGGCAAAAGAUACUGAUGAACUAGAGUACGGCAG
rnacentral:rRNA from 1 species